CCCUCGAGGAGAAGCCGUCGCCCCCAUCUCCCGCUCCGCCGCCGCCCGCCUUACCGUAUCUCCCUCUCAGCCACCUCCACCACCCCCACGCUUCUCCCCAUCGCCGGAUCCGCUAUCAGAUCGCCAAGGUUAGGCGGCAGAGCUACACGUCCGCGACGCGCUCAUGCUCGUCAAGGAAGGGGCUCCCGAUCGAAUCUGCGCUCACGCGGCUUGUGUGCCAUGGCCGCCAUGGCAUCCAUGGCCGACAAGAGGGGACCCUCGGCCUCGGCCAUGGCCGCCUGCUUUGGACACGGGGUCGCCACAUCCGACGCUGCCAGCGCCUCGUGGACCGCCAUCAGGAGCUCCAGGUCCGCCGCUAUCGAACUCUACGGCCAUGGUCACCACGUCCAUGGUCGAUCAACUGAUCUGAUCUGAUCACAAGUUCCACAGGAAGAAAAUCUAGAAAUUCUUGCGCUGGAUGCAGUAGACGAAAUUGAAUGUACACGUACGUGGAUCCAAGUCCGAGUUGGGAGCGCCAUCGAUCCGACGAACGUGCAAGGAAUUUCUGAAUCCAGGACUUCUAUUUGAGCAUUCUUUGUGGACAGGUUGACGACAGGAGCUGAAGUACGUUUGAACAAACGUUUUCUUUCAGUUUUCCCAAGAAGAACAUGAGGCUGGUACGACAGGGGCUGGUACUGCAUCUCGUCGGCGGAAGGCGAAAAGAAUGGCGGCGGCGGGCAAUAUGGGAGAAGACGGUGCCCUGCCUGACAACGGACUCGAAUUUCUACUGGAUCCGGUUGACAGAGAGGUGGUUGCGGACGUUGAGGUGCCAGAUCCGUUGGCGGCGAGGGACUUAGUGGCGACAGACAUGGCUGGCGCCGAUUCCUCAUGCGCGGUUGUGGUUGGGCACCUCGGCGGAGCUGCUGAGCCCCGGGAUUCUGGCGGCAAGAGGAAACAGUAGUCAACCCAGUCCGUGGAAUCGACCGGGAAAGUGAACACGGAGGCGCCCAGGUCGACCAGAAGGUAAAAAGUAAAAUUAGAGUUCUGAAACUUUCAGACAGAAUGGUUUUGAUUUUUGCAAGCACUGUCACAUACUUGUGCAUGAGCAUAUAUGCCCGGUGCUGUGAUUACUCGUUUCAGCUGGGUAUCCUCGUGAUUUUUCUGGUCAUACUAAUGCGAAUUGGUGUUUCAUAUAUACGACUAGCCAAGAAGUUUUUAGAUGGAUCAUGUCAUAGAUGGACUAGCCAAGAUUGUUUUUAGAUGGAGUGACGAGUGGCACCUGCAGUUCUAAAGGAAAUGUUAGGGUAAGAAGGUUUAAUUCAGCACGCAAAACACAUAACCAUUGUACGACCAGACAGUUGUGGCACAACAGAAAACUAUAGCUACAACUUUUCUAUUUAAUUAAAUUUUUAGUUGACGAUAGUAUUAUCUAUUUUAUAAUUUUUAAUGUUAUAAGACUCCAAUCCAAUGCAGAGCUUAUGCCCGUCAUUGGCUUGUCUCCCCUGGGCUGUGCAUCCAGCUCCAGCGGGUUCAGCACGACUGAGGCAGCAGUGGGAAGGAAGAUUAUUCGGUAGGAUGGCGCUGACAACAUAUCGGAGAUGCGCCAAGCCUUGCUGCGACCUAGCUUUCUUGUGCUUGCUCUCCUUCCCCAACAACAGACCAUCAUGGCCCUCCCUUUUGUUGUUCAUCAAUGGGGGUCAUGUUCACAUCAGAACCUUCAUCAGCACAAUCUUCAUGAAUUUUCCAUAUUUGUCAUAUCUCUCUGAUUGUCCAAUGCAGAUCAUGUUGUUAAAAAGUGAAACUUCUGGGUUGAUUUCAGGUUUAAGGCGUAAAGACUUUUUUAGUUUAUGUUCGUGCUGGAAAAUUUAUGUUCAUUGUCGCACCAAUCAUGUCGGAACCGAAUUUAUUUUCAUUGUUUCAGUCCAAUUCAUCCUUAGAGGGAAAGUGUGGGCCUUGAACUGAAGGAGAGGCAAAUAUGUUUCUGUUCAUAGUUAAAUUGGUUCUUGAUUUGAAGAGAUUAUAGAGCCACGUAAUUUUGUACCCGAGCACUGCCAACUGUCGACGAUUUGUAUUGUGUGUUGUUUUACAGUACCUACUUGCCAAUAUUAUUGUGUUGUUUCUCCUAACAAUUGUAGACAUGAAUACAUUUUUGACGAGGUGAAGACAACAGAGAUUGGAGGUAUGCGCUGGGCUCUUUGACACAAGCUAGGGAGGAGUAAGCUGACUGCAUAAUGAGAAAUGUUGAAGUAGUCCAAGGAGGAAUGACACACUGGCUGUGUGUGUGAUGACCUUAACUCUGAAAAAUGAGUUUUUCUUUCUUUCUAAAAUCUAGAGUGGAUUAAUUCUACAAGUAUCCUGAGUUUCUGAUAUGCUUUGCACAUCCACAUACGUGACAGCUGCAAGUUUAACCUGCUCUGAAAUCUCAGAGUUUGUUAGAAGAAACUAUAUUGUUGAUGUGGCUCUUUCACAGUUUUCAUUUCUAAUAAAAUGUGAAGGUGCAACUAUCCUGAA